rnacentral:rRNA from 1 species
UACGGAGGGUGCAAGCGUUAUCCGGAUUCACUGGGUUUAAAGGGUGCGUAGGCGGGCAGGUAAGUCCGUGGUGAAAUCCCCGAGCUUAACUCGGGAACUGCCAUGGAUACUAUUUGUCUUGAAUAUUGUGGAGGUAAGCGGAAUAUGUCAUGUAGCGGUGAAAUGCUUAGAUAUGACAUAGAACACCAAUUGCGAAGGCAGCUGGCUAAACAGAUAUUGACGCUGAGGCACGAAAGCGUGGGGAUCAAACAGG